rnacentral:tRNA from 1 species
UCUCUGAUAACUCAGUUGCUAGGGAAUCUGCCUGCAACGCAGAAGACCCCAGUUCGGUUUCUGGGUUGAGAA